rnacentral:rRNA from 2 species
AGAGUUUGAUUCUGGCUCAGAACGAACGCUGGCGGCGUGGAUAAGACAUGCAAGUCGAACGAGAGAAUUGCUAGCUUGCUAAUAAUUCUCUAGUGGCGCACGGGUGAGUAACACGUGAGUAACCUGCCCCCGAGAGCGGGAUAGCCCUGGGAAACUGGGAUUAAUACCGCAUAGUAUCGAAAGAUUAAAGCAGCAAUGCGCUUGGGGAUGGGCUCGCGGCCUAUUAGUUAGUUGGUGAGGUAACGGCUCACCAAGGCGAUGACGGGUAGCCGGUCUGAGAGGAUGUCCGGCCACACUGGAACUGAGACACGGUCCAGACACCUACGGGUGGCAGCAGUCGAGAAUCAUUCACAAUGGGGGAAACCCUGAUGGUGCGACGCCGCGUGGGGGAAUGAAGGUCUUCGGAUUGUAAACCCCUGUCAUGUGGGAGCAAAUUAAAAAGAUAGUACCACAAGAGGAAGAGACGGCUAACUCUGUGCCAGCAGCCGCGGUAAUACAGAGGUCUCAAGCGUUGUUCGGAAUCACUGGGCGUAAAGCGUGCGUAGGCUGUUUCGUAAGUCGUGUGUGAAAGGCGCGGGCUCAACCCGCGGACGGCACAUGAUACUGCGAGACUAGAGUAAUGGAGGGGGAACCGGAAUUCUCGGUGUAGCAGUGAAAUGCGUAGAUAUCGAGAGGAACACUCGUGGCGAAGGCGGGUUCCUGGACAUUAACUGACGCUGAGGCACGAAGGCCAGGGGAGCGAAAGGGAUUAGAUACCCCUGUAGUCCUGGCAGUAAACGGUGCACGCUUGGUGUGCGGGGAAUCGACCCCCUGCGUGCCGGAGCUAACGCGUUAAGCGUGCCGCCUGGGGAGUACGGUCGCAAGAUUAAAACUCAAAGAAAUUGACGGGGACCCGCACAAGCGGUGGAGUAUGUGGCUUAAUUCGAUGCAACGCGAAGAACCUUACCUGGGCUUGACAUGUAAUGAACAACAUGUGAAAGCAUGCGACUCUUCGGAGGCGUUACACAGGUGCUGCAUGGCCGUCGUCAGCUCGUGUCGUGAGAUGUUUGGUUAAGUCCAGCAACGAGCGCAACCCCUGUUGCCAGUUACCAGCACGUGAAGGUGGGGACUCUGGCGAGACUGCCCAGAUCAACUGGGAGGAAGGUGGGGACGACGUCAGGUCAGUAUGGCCCUUAUGCCCAGGGCUGCACACGUACUACAAUGCCCAGUACAGAGGGGGCCGAAGCCGUGAGGCGGAGGAAAUCCUAAAAACUGGGCCCAGUUCGGACUGUAGGCUGCAACCCGCCUACACGAAGCCGGAAUCGCUAGUAAUGGCGCAUCAGCUACGGCGCCGUGAAUACGUUCCCGGGUCUUGUACACACCGCCCGUCACAUCAUGGAAGCCGGUCGCACCCGAAGUAUCUGAAGCCAACCGCAAGGAGGCAGGGUCCUAAGGUGAGACUGGUAACUGGGAUGAAGUCGUAACAAGGUAGCCGUAGGGGAACCUGCGG